ensembl:lncRNA
CCCCCAUCUCUAGAGACACAGCUUCACCCCAUCUCUCUAGACACAGUUUCAUCCCCCAUCUCUAGAGACACAGUUUCACCCCAUCUCUCCAGACACAGUUUCAGCCCGCCAUCUCUAGAGACACAGUUUCACCCCAUCUCUCCAGACACAGUUUCAUCCCCCCAUCUCUCUAGACACAGUUUCAUCCCCCAUCUCUAGAGACACAGUUUCACCCCAUCUCUCCAGACACAGUUUCAUCCCCCCAUCUCUAGAGACACAGUUUCACCCCAUCUCUCUAGACACAGUUUAAUCCCCAUCUCUAGAGACACAGCUUCACCCCAUCUCUAGAGAUACAGCCUUCACCCCAUCUCUAGAGAUACAGCGUCACCCCCAUCUCUAGAGACACAGCGUCACCCCCAUCUCUAGAGACACAGCUUCACCCCAUCUCUCCAGACACAGUUUCAUCCCCCAUCUCUAGAGACACAGUUUCACCCCAUCUCUCCAGACACAGUUUCAUCCCCCAUCUCUAGAGACACAGUUUCACCCCAUCUCUCUAGACACAGUUUCAUCCCCCAUCUCUAGAGACAUAGUUUCACCCCAUCUCUCCAGACACAGUUUCACCCCAUCUCUCCAGACACAGUUUCAUCACCCCAUCUCUAGAGACACAGUUUCAUCCCCCAUCUCUAGAGACAGUUUCACCCCAUCUCUCCAGACACAGUUUCAUCCCCACAUCUCUAGAGACACAGUUACACCCCAUCUCUCUAGACACAGUUUCAUCCCCCAUCUCUAGAGACACAGCUUCACCCCAUCUCUAGAGACACAGCUUCACCCCCCAUCUCUAGAGACACAGCCUCACCCCUCAAAUCCAAAGUUACACACAUGCUGGCUAGAUGCUUGCUGUCUAACUAUUGGAAAGCAGUCACCACACCACUGCCAUUAUGCUUUACAUUUGCACUAGAAAACUUUACCUGAAAGGGUUUGAUUGGUGAGGGG